rnacentral:rRNA from 1 species
UACGGGGGAGCAAGCGUUGUUCGGAUUUACUGGGCGUAAAGGGCGCGUAGGCGGCCACCGCAAGUCAGUUGUGAAAUCUCUGGGCUUAACCCAGAAAGGUCAACUGAUACUGCGGGGCUAGAGUGCAGAAGGGGCAACUGGAAUUCUCGGUGUAGCGGUGAAAUGCGUAGGAUAUCGAGAGGAACACCUGCGGCGAAGGCGGGUUGCUGGGCUGACACUGACGUGAAGCGCGAAAGCUAGGGGAGCGAACGG